rnacentral:rRNA from 1 species
CCUACGGGUGACAGCAGUGAGGAAUAUUGGUCAAUGGCCGGAAGGCUGAACCAGCCAAGCCGCGUGAAGGACGAAGGUCCCAAGCAUUGUAAACUUCUUUUGUCAAGGGACAAAAUCAGGCUCGCGAGCCUGACCGAGUGUACUUGACGAAAAAGCAUCGGCUAACACCGUGCAAGCAGCCGCGGUAAUACGGAGGAUGCGGGCGUUAUCCGGAUUUAUUGGGUUUAAGGGGGGCGUAGGCGGGCUGUUAUGUCAGCGGUAAAAUUGAGGGGCCCAACCUAUUCGAGCCGUUGAAACUGGGUGUCUUGAGUGAGCGAGAGGUAUGCGGAAUGCGUGGUGUAGCGGUGAAAUGCAUAGAUAUCACGCAGAACUCCGAUUGCGAAGGCAGCAUACCGGAGCUCAACUGACGCUCAUGCACGAAAGUGUGGGUAUCGAACAGGAUUAGAUACCCGGGUAGUC